rnacentral:misc_RNA from 1 species
AACGCACAUUGCGCCCGCCAGUAUUCUGGCGGGCAUGCCUGUUCGAGCGUCAUUACAACCCUCAGGCCCCCGGGCCUGGCGUUGGGGAUCGGCGAGGCGCCCCCUGUGGGCACGCGCCGUCCCCCAAAUACAGUGGCGGUCCCGCCGCAGCUUCCAUUGCGUAGUAGCUAACACCUCGCACUGGAGAGCGGCGCGGCCAUGCCGUGAAACACCCAACUUCUGAAUGUUGACCUCGAAUCAGGUAGGAAUACCCGCUGAACUUAA